rnacentral:rRNA from 1 species
CUUACAAGCUGUGGAAGCACAUUUCUUGUGUGACCGCGUACUUUUUGUAGAACGGGCCAACGAGUUACGUUAAGUAGCAAGGUUAAGCACUUAAGGUGCGGAGCCGUAGCGAAAGCGAGUUUUAACUGAGCGUUCAGUUACUUGACGUAGACCCGAAACCGGGCGACCUACCCAUGAGCAGGAUGAAGCGAAAGUAAAAUUUCGUGGAGGUCCGAACCCACGAGCGUUGAAAAGCUCGGGGAUGACUUGUGGGUAGCGGUGAAAUUCCAAUCGAGCCCGGAGAUAGCUGGUUCUCCCCGAAAUAGCUUUAGGGCUAGCCUCAAGGUGAGAGAUACGGAGGUAGAGCACUGAAUGUCCUAGGGGGUAUUGCACCUACCGAAGACUAUCAAACUCCGAAUGCCGUCAUCUUAUACUUGGGAGUCAGACUGUGGGUGAUAAGAUUCAUAGUCGAAAGGGCAACAGCCCAGAUCGUCAGCUAAGGUCCCUAAAUGUAAGUUAAGUGGUAAAGGAUGUGGGAUUGCACAGACAACCAGGAUGUUGGCUUAGAAGCAGCCACUCAUUCAAAGAGUGCGUAAUAGCUCACUGGUCGAGUGAUCCUGCGCCGAAGAUUUCCGGGGCUAAAACUUACUACCGAAGCUACGGCAUCAGUAAUGAUGGGUAGGGGAGCUUCCCAUACGGGUUGAAGCAUGACCGUAAGGACAUGUGGACAGUAUGGGAGUGAGAAUGUUGGCAUGAGUAGCGAGAUGUGGGUGAGAAUCCCACAGGCCGUAAACCCAAGGUUUCCAGGGGAAGGUUCGUCCGCCCUGGGUUAGUCGGGACCUAAGCUGAGGCCGAAAGGCGUAGGUGAUGGACAACAGGUUGAUAUUCCUGUACUACCGAUAACCGUUUGAGAGAAGGGAUGACACAGUAGGAUAAGCUAAGCACACUGUUGGUUAUGUGUGCCCAAGCAUUGAGGCAGUCAAAGUAGGCAAAUCCGCUUUGAUAAUGCUGGGAUGUGAUGGGGAGCGAAAUUUAGUAGCGAAGUAGCUGAUUUCACACUGUCAAGAAAAGUCUCUAUCGAGGUUAAAGGUACCCGUACCGCAAACCGACACAGGUGGGUGAGGAGAGUAUCCUAAGGCCAGCGAGAGAACUGUUGUUAAGGAACUCGGCAAAAUGACCCCGUAACUUAGGGAUAAGGGGUGCCACCAUCAGGUGGCCGCAGAGAAUAGGCCCAAGCGACUGUUUACCAAAAACAUAGGUUUCUGCUAAGUCGCAAGACGAUGUAUAGGAGCUGACGCCUGCCCGGUGCUGGAAGGUUAAGGGGAUCUGUUAGAGCAAUCGAAGCAGUGAACUUAAGCCCCAGUAAACGGCGGCCGUAACUAUAACGGUCCUAAGGUAGCGAAAUUCCUUGUCGGGUAAGUUCCGACCCGCACGAAAGGCGUAACGAUUUGGGCACUGUCUCAACAACAGACUCGGUGAAAUUGUAAUUCCGGUGAAGAUGCCGGAUACCUGCGACAGGACGGAAAGACCCCAUGGAGCUUUACUGUAGCUUGACAUUGGGUCUUGGUACUACAUGUACAGGAUAGGUGGGAGGCUUUGAAACCAGGACGCCAGUUUUGGCGGAGCCAUCCUUGGGAUACCACCCUUGUAGUACUGGGACUCUAACCAUAGGCCAUGAAUCUGGUCUUGGGACACUGUCAGGUGGGCAGUUUGACUGGGGCGGUCGCCUCCCAAAAGGUAACGGAGGCGCUCAAAGGUUCUCUCAGUACGGUCGGAAAUCGUACGUAGAGUGUAAAGGCAAAAGAGAGCUUGAUUGCAAGACAUACAGGUCGAGCAAGGAUGAAAAUCGGACUUAGUGAUCCGGUGGUUCUGCGUGGAAGGGCCAUCGCUCAACGGAUAAAAGCUACCCUGGGGAUAACAGGCUUAUCUCCCCCAAGAGUCCACAUCGACGGGGAGGUUUGGCACCUCGAUGUCGGCUCAUCACAUCCUGGGGCUGUAGUAGGUCCCAAGGGUUGGGCUGUUCGCCCAUUAAAGUGGUACGCGAGCUGGGUUCAGAACGUCGUGAGACAGUUCGGUCCCUAUCCGUCGCAGGCGUAGGAAAUUUGAGAAGACCUGUCCUUAGUACGAGAGGACCGGGAUGGACGUACCUCUGGUGUACCAGUUGUCCUGCCAAGGGCAUGGCUGGGUAGCUAUGUACCUGUCUCUUAUACACAUCUGACGCUGCCGACGAAUAGAGAGGUGUAGAUC